GGGUGUAGCUCAGUGGUAGAGUACCUGCUUAGCAUGCAUGAGGUCCUGGGUUCAAUCUCCCAUACAUCUA
rnacentral:tRNA from 1 species